UACAGAGGGUGCAAGCGUUGUUCGGAAUUACUGGGCGUAAAGCGCGUGUAGGCGGCCUAUUAAGUCAGAUGUGAAAUCCCUUGGCUCAACCGAGGAACUGCAUCUGAUACUGGUAAGCUUGAGUGUCGGAGGGGAUGGUAGAAUUCCUGGUGUAGAGGUGAAAUUCGUAGAUAUCAGGAGGAAUACCUGUGGCGAAGGCGACCAUCUGGAAGACAACUGACGCUGAGACGCGAAAGCGUGGGUAGCAAACAGGAUUAGAACCGUACCGGU
rnacentral:rRNA from 1 species